rnacentral:rRNA from 1 species
AUUGAACGCUGGCGGCAGGCCUAACACAUGCAAGUCGAACGAGUGGCGGACGGGUGAGUAGUGUCUGGGAACUGCCUGAUGGAGGGGGAUAACUACUGGAAACGGUAGCUAAUACAAGCGACUAGUUGAUAGCCGAUGUCGGAUUAGCUAGUUGGCGGGGUAAAGGCCCACCACGGCGACGAUCCGUAGCUGGCCUGAGAGGAUGAUCAGCCACACUGGAACUGAGACACGGUCCAGACUCCUACGGGAGGCAGCAGUGGGGAAUAUUGCACAAUGGGCGAAAGCCUGACGCAGCCACGCCGCGUGUAUGAAGAAGGCCUUCGGGUCGUAAAGUACUUUCAGCGGGGAGGCGUUACCCGCAGAAGAAGCACCGGCUAACUCCGUGCCAGCAGCCGCGGUAAUUC